rnacentral:rRNA from 1 species
UACAGAGGUCUCAAGCGUUGUUCGGAUUCAUUGGGCGUAAAGGGUGCGUAGGUGGCGCCGUAAGUCAGGUGUGAAAUUUCGGAGCUUAACUCCGAAACUGCAUUUGAUACUGCGGUGCUUGAGGACUGGAGAGGAGACUGGAAUUCACGGUGUAGCAGUGAAAUGCGUAGAUAUCGUGAGGAAGACCAGUGGCGAAGGCGGGUCUCUGGACAGUUCCUGACACUGAGGCAGCGAAGGCCAGGGGAGCAAAACGGG